rnacentral:rRNA from 1 species
UACAGAGGGUGCAAGCGUUGUUCGGAAUUACUGGGCGUAAAGCGAGCGUAGUCGGUAUUGAGAGUCAUAGGUGAAAUCCCAGGGCUUAACCCUGGAACUGCCCGUGAGACCUCAGUACUGGAGUGUGAGAGGGGAUAGUGGAAUACCAAGUGUAGCGGUGAAAUGCGUAGAGAUUUGGUGGAACACCGGUGGCGAAGGCGGCUAUCUGGCUCACAACUGACGAUCAGGCUCGAAAGCGUGGGGAGCAAACAGG